rnacentral:rRNA from 1 species
GAUGAACGCUGGCGGCGUACCUAAUACAUGCCAGUCGAGCGAACGGACGAGAAGCUUGCUUCUCUGAUGUUAGCGGCGGACGGGUGAGUAACACGUGGAUAACCUACCUAUAAGACUGGGAUAACUUCGGGAAACCGGAGCUAAUACCGGAUGAUAUUUUGAACCGCAUGGUUCAAAAGUGAAAGACGGUCUUGCUGUCACUUAUAGAUGGAUCCGCGCUGCAUUAGCUAGUUGGUAAGGUAACGGCUUACCAAGGCAACGAUGCAUAGCCGACCUGAGAGGGUGAUCGGCCACACUGGAACUGAGACACGGUCCAGACUCCUACGGGAGGCAGCAGUAGGGAAUCUUCCGCAAUGGGCGAAAGCCUGACGGAGCAACGCCGCGUGAGUGAUGAAGGUCUUCGGAUCGUAAAACUCUGUUAUUAGGGAAGAACAUAUGUGUAAGUAACUGUGCACAUCUUGACGGUACCUAAUCAGAAAGCCACGGCUAACUACGUG